rnacentral:rRNA from 1 species
UACAGAGGUCUCAAGCGUUGUUCGGAUUCAUUGGGCGUAAAGGGUGCGUAGGUGGCGCCGUAAGUCAGGUGUGAAAUUUCGGAGCUUAACUCCGAAACUGCAUUUGAUACUGCGGUGCUUGAGGACUGGAGAGGAGACUGGAAUUCACGGUGUAGCAGUGAAAUGCGUAGAGAUCGUGAGGAAGACCAGUGGCGAAGGCGGGUCUCUGGACAGUUCCUGACACUGAGGCACGAAGGCCAGGGGAGC